rnacentral:rRNA from 1 species
AUUGAACGCUGGCGGCAGGCCUAACACAUGCAAGUCGAACGAGUGGCGGACGGGUGAGUAAUGUCUGGGAAACUGCCUGAUGGCGGGGGAUAACUCCUGGAAACGGUAGCUAAUACCGCAUACCAUCGGAUGUGCCCAGAUGGGAUUAGCUUGUAGGUGAGGUAACGGCUCACCUAGGCGACGAUCCCUAGCUGGUCUGAGAGGAUGACCAGCCAAACUGGAACUGAGACACGGUCCAGACUCCUACGGGAGGCAGCAGUGGGGAAGAUUGCACAAGGGGCUCAAGCCUGAUGCAGCCAUGCCGCGUGUAUGAAGAAGGCCUUCGGGUUGUAAAGUACUUUCAGCGGGGAGGCGUUACCCGCAGAAGAAGCACCGGCUAACUCCGUGCCAGCAGCCGCGGUAAUAC